rnacentral:rRNA from 1 species
AUGAACGCUGGCGGCGUGCCUAAUCCCUGCAAGUCGCGCGCACGGACGAGAAGCUUGCUUCUCUGAUGUUAGCGGCGGACGGGUGAGUAACACGUGGAUAACCUACCUAUAAGACUGGGAUAACUUCGGGAAACCGGAGCUAAUUCCGGAUGAUAUUUUGAACCGCAUGGUUCAAAAGUGAAAGACGGUCUUGCUGUCACUUAUAGAUGGAUCCGCGCUGCAUUAGCUAGUUGGUAAGGUAACGGCUUACCAAGGCAACGAUGCAUAGCCGACCUGAGAGGGUGAUCGGCCACACUGGAACUGAGACACGGUCCAGACUCCUACGGGAGGCAGCAGUAGGGAAUCUUCCGCAAUGGGCGAAAGCCUGACGGAGCAACGCCGCGUGAGUGAUGAAGGUCUUCGGAUCGUAAAACUCUGUUAUUAGGGAAGAACAUAUGUGUAAGUAACUGUGCACAUCUUGACGGUACCUAAUCAGAAAGCCACGGCUAACUACGUG